GGCGCGGUCAGGCACAAACUGUCUGGAGAACCUGGUGAUCCUGAAUGGGGAGAAGUUCAGUCCGGAGGUGUGGGACGUCACCUGCGCCUGCAUGCUGGAUAUCUUCCAGACCACCAGCCCUCAUGUCUUGCUGACAUGGCGACCAGCUGGACAGGAAGAGGAGGUGGGAGAAGGGAAACACAUGGACGCUGAGGUUGAUUCUCAGUCGCAGAGCAGCUUUGAGAGGACUCUUUCAGAGAGAGGACACAGUCAGAUGUCCACUGCCAGUGAUGAAACAUGGAAAGGAAAAUCCCAAACCAGUAUGUACAGCUGC